rnacentral:lncRNA from 7 species
ACCUAUGCCUUUUAGUUCUGCUGAGUUUGUAGUUCCUGGGCAAAGUGUUAUGCUCUCAAAGGUGAUAGGGGCAUAAUUUGUUCUGGGCCGGGCAGGGCUCCAGCUAGUAUUAAUGAUGGAUUUAGGAUGAGAGUGCAGGCAGCACAUGACGAACACCAAGGAGACAUUUUUCCUGUGUGUAUGAAGACCUGUGGUGAGAAUCUAAAGCAUCCUAAGGAUACCACUCUGCAACUGUUCAAACUUGUGGGCAUAAACUACAAUCUUGUGUAAUGCAAUAGACAGUAACUGCUUUCCCACACAAACUAGCUGUAAGCACAAUUUGAGUAAUUGACAGCUGUUAUUUUUCUUUCCCUAUGAUUGUUUAUUUUCAAAGGGCAGAAAUAAGGACAAACUUGGCCUUUCUUCAUGGCAUGCAACAGCCCGCCUCUGAUCUCUGCAGCCCGUGUGUACCUGUAAGCUCUCCCAAGCAAGAAUGUGAACAUCAGACCUAGCCUACAGCACUGGAUUUAAGAUGCUCUCCAACCUACCCUGGAGAUCCAUGUCUGCUUCGGAGCUCAGCGGCCAUGAGUCUUGAACUGUGUUGAGCAGGAGUGGCUGCUGGCAGUGUUGCUUGGUGUUUGAUUUCUGUUGUGCGUUUUGGUUUUGGAUUGGUGGGCUUUAUUAAUUGCUUUGUUUUAAGAUAUCUGGUUAUAUGGGGCUGCAGCACAGCAGGAUGACAGAUGGGCUGUGACCCUUCUCCUGGUAUUAAUGCUGGGCCAAGGAAGCGAUGGGGAUGGAGAACAGAAAGCUGGACCUGUGGCUAGCUUCUGGAGGACACUUGAAGCCAAAGAAUUUACUUGGCAUUCCUUCUCUUAAGCCUUGCUUUUCACCUCCUUUUACCUAAUCCGACCCCUGCCUCUUGCAGCUUGACAUGAGCACCAUGCUUGAGGCAGAGAGAUGUUGCAGACCAUUACCAGCACUUUGGCAUAGGAUCUUGACAGCAAGUCUGAAAAGAUUUCUUUAUGGAUUCUUCACUAUGUAAUUCUGCUUCUGUGAGGUGACUGAUGGAUCUCUGCAAGGUGCAGUUCAGCUGGGGCCUGAUGGGAGCUGGAGCACAGAGGACGUGAGGAGAGAAUGGCUCAGCAUCUUCCCUGACCAGGUUUUCAGAUGGAUUGUAUGGGGCAGUACCUUCUUUUCUGGGGUUGAUAUUCAGCUUCAAGAAGAACAAACUAUGAAGCACGCUGAAUGUGCAUUGCCGUGAUGCCUGUGUCUAAAGCCUUGUGCUAUGGCAAACUUCAGACCUGAAAGAAAUCCUAUUGUUUGUCGAUGGGAGAGGCCCCAGCUCAGCUUUAAUCAGUAAUUAAAACCAAGCUCAUGU